rnacentral:rRNA from 1 species
UUUGAGAUGGACCCGCGGCGCAUUAGCUAGUUGGUAAGGUAACGGCUUACCAAGGCAACGAUGCGUAGCCGACCUGAGAGGGUGAUCGGCCACAUUGGAACUGAGACACGGUCCAGACUCCUACGGGAGGCAGCAGUGGGGAAUAUUGCGCAAUGGGGGAAACCCUGACGCAGCAACGCCGCGUGGGUGAUGAAGGUCUUCGGAUUGUAAAGCCCUGUUUUCUGGGACGAUAAUGACGGUACCAGAGGAGGAAGCCACGGCUAACUACGUGCCAGCAGCCGCGGUAAUACGUAGGUGGCGAGCGUUGUCCGGAUUUACUGGGCGUAAAGGGUGCGUAGGCGGAUGUUUAAGUGGGAUGUGAAAUCCCCGGGCUUAACCUGGGGGCUGCAUUCCAAACUGGAUAUCUAGAGUGCAGGAGAGGAAAGCGGAAUUCCUAGUGUAGCGGUGAAAUGCGUAGAGAUUAGGAAGAACCCAGUGGCGAAGGCGGCUUUCUGGACUGUAACUGACGCUGAGGCACGAAAGCUGGGUAGCAAACAGGAUUAGAUACCCUGGUAGUCCCGCCGUAACGUUGGAUACUAGGUGUAGGGGGUAUCAACUCCCCCUGUGCCGCAGUUAACACAAUAAGUAUCCCGCCUGGGGAGUACGGUCGCAAGAUUAAAACUCAAAGGAAUUGACGGGGGCCCGCACAAGCAGCGGAGCAUGUGGUUUAAUUCGAAGCAACGCGAAGAACCUUACCUGGACUUGACAUCCCUUGCAUAGCCUAGAGAUAGGUGAAGCCCUUCGGGGCAAGGAGACAGGUGGUGCAUGGUUGUCGUCAGCUCGUGUCGUGAGAUGUUAGGUUAAGUCCUGCAACGAGCGCAACCCUUGUUAUUAGUUGCUACCAUUAAGUUGAGCACUCUAAUGAGACUGCCUGGGUAACCAGGAGGAAGGUGGGGAUGACGUCAAAUCAUCAUGCCCCUUAUGUCCAGGGCUACACACGUGCUACAAUGGUAGGUACAAUAAGACGCAAGACCGUGAGGUGGAGCAAAACUUAUAAAACCUAUCUCAGUUCGGAUUGUAGGCUGCAA